AAAUAAAUAAACGGACGGCAGGACUAACAGCAGGCAUCAAAUGCCACACCCGAGAGACCCAUGACCCUUUUGGAGGUGAAUGGGGCUGAAGGGGAAAAGAGGGAAUCCACAGAUCCCCACUGAAGGAAAAUCUCGAGUCUAGGGCAAAGAAAAAUGCUGAGAAGGAAAGGAAAGGAGAGGAAACAGAAAUGGCCUGUCCUCAUGCUCAGGAAACCGAGGCGCACCCUCCUUGGCUUUUUCCCCCUUCUAAUGUGAAACUACCCCACCUGACUGUGUACCUGCCACGUCCUGGUCCAAAUGUGCACCAAGGAAGUGAUCGCUCCCUGCCCGUCUGCUUGUGACAUCGAACACUUAGGCUCUGACCGCUAAAACUGGGUAUGUGUUGCCCAGCUCAAGCCCCUAUUUUACUGCAGACAAGGGUCUUUGCUCCAAGGACAGCAGUUAGGUGCCCGAGGCCACACAGCUAAUUAGUGGCAGAGCUGAAACCAGAUGGAUGCUUCUUGACAUCCGGUCCGAUCUUCGCCCACCACACUUGGGAUGGCAAUAAACAAAUGCGUGUCUGCGUACACAUGCUUUAUGCUUCUAGAGAUUCUCUCCUGUCUCCA